rnacentral:rRNA from 1 species
UACGAAGGGGGCUAGCGUUGCUCGGAAUUACUGGGCGUAAAGCGCAUGUAGGCGGAUAUUUAAGUCAGGGGUGAAAUCCCGCAGCUCAACUGCGGAACUGCCUUUGAUACUGGGUAUCUUGAGUAUGGAAGAGGUGAGUGGAAUUCCGAGUGUAGAGGUGAAAUUCGUAGAUAUUCGGAGGAACACCAGUGGCGAAGGCGGCUCACUGGUCCAUUACUGACGCUGAGGUGCGAAAGCGUGGGGAGCAAACAGG